rnacentral:rRNA from 1 species
ACGGAGGGUGCGAGCGUUAAUCGGAAUCACUGGGCGUAAAGCGCACGUAGGCGGUGUCGUAAGUCGGAUGUGAAAGCCCUCGGCUCAACCGGGGAACUGCAUUCGAUACUGCGACGCUUGAGUGCCGGAGAGGGUGGCGGAAUUCCAGGUGUAGGAGUGAAUCCCGGAGAUAUCUGGAGGAGCACCGAAGGCGAGGGGGGCCACCUGGCCGGGAUCUUACGCUGAGGUGAGAAAGCGUGGGGAUGAAAGUG